GAUGAACGCUGGCGGCGUGCCUAAUACAUGCAAGUCGAACGAACAGACGAGGAGCUUGCUCCUCUGACGUUAGCGGCGGACGGGUGAGUAACACGUGGAUAACCUACCUAUAAGACUGGGAUAACUUCGGGAAACCGGAGCUAAUACCGGAUAACAUGUUCAACCGCAUGGUUCAACAGUGAAAGACGGUCUUGCUUUCACUUAUAGAUGGAUCCGCGCCGCAUUAGCUAGUUGGUAAGGUAACGGCUUACCAAGGCAACGAUGCGUAGCCGACCUGAGAGGGUGAUCGGCCACACUGGAACUGAGACACGGUCCAGACUCCUACGGGAGGCAGCAGUAGGGAAUCUUCCGCAAUGGGCGAAAGCCUGACGGAGCAACGCCGCGUGAGUGAAGAAGGUCUUCGGAUCGUAAAACUCUGUUAUUAGGGAAGAACAAAUGUGUAAGUAACUAUGCACGUCUUGACGGUACCUAAUCAGAAAGCCACGGCUAACUACGUG
rnacentral:rRNA from 1 species